CCUACGGGAGGCAGCAGUGAGGAAUAUUGGUCAAUGGCCGGAAGGCUGAACCAGCCAAGCCGCGUGAAGGACGAAGGUGCCAAGCAUUGUAAACUUCUUUUGUCAAGGGACAAAAUCAGGCUCGAGAGCCUGACCGAGGGUACUUGAAGAAAAAGCAUCGGCUAACUCCGUGCCAGCAGCCGCGGUAAUACGGAGGAUGCGAGCGUUAUCCGGAUUUAUUGGGGUUAAAGGGUGCGUAGGCGGGCUGUUAAUUCAGCGGGAAAAGCCCGGGGCUCAACCCCCGGGGAGCAGUUGAAACUGGCAGCCUUGAGAUGUGGAGAGGUAGGCGGAAUGCGUAGUGUAGCGGUGAAAUGCUUAGAUAUCGCGAAGAACUCCGAUUGCGAAGGCAGCAUACUGG
rnacentral:rRNA from 1 species